CAGCAGCCGCGGGAAAACGUAGGGCGCAAGCGUUGUCCGGAAUUAUUGGGCGUAAAGAGCUCGUAGGCGGUCUGUCGCGUCUGGUGUGAAAUCCCGAGGCUCAACCUCGGGCUUGCAUCGGGUACGGGCAGACUAGAGUGCGGUAGGGGAGACUGGAAUUCCUGGUGUAGCGGUGGAAUGCGCAGAUAUCAGGAGGAACACCGAUGGCGAAGGCAGGUCUCUGGGCCGCAACUGACGCUGAGGAGCGAAAGCAUGGGGAGCGAACAGGAUUAGAGACCCCUGUAGUCCCUGUCUCUUAUAC
rnacentral:rRNA from 1 species